AUGUGGAAAUAGACCGGCCCACGAACACCCGUGUUACUAAACCCUUUCACUCAGCAACUUUGGUAGCCGCCGCGAGCAACAAGAGGAAGAACCUCUCUACUCCAAAACCCUAAAACACCCUUCGCAUUCGCUCUUCUCUUCGCCGACGCACUCCUUGUCUUCCUCAUAAUCUGCUUUGCGAAAAACGUAGCGUUUCGUCCAUCCACAAGUUCCGCAAGUGUUUUGGAUAUUUACCGCAUAGGAGUAUAGGCGAAGACUAAAGUGUUGGAUAUUUAUCGCAUUCGUCCCCUAUACGAAGAUAGAUUGGGACGCUUACAUGUCACAGGUUACCGUGUUUCUCGAAGUAGAUUAGAGUUCAAUAUUAUCAGAAUCAAGGGUAAAAACAAGUUGUUGGGCGUUUUAUAGUGAGAGGGGAUUUGCGUGUGACAAGCAGGGGUAUUUAAGGUUGUAUUGAUGGCUGUUUGAGUGUGGUGAACAUAGUGUUUGGGAAUUCAUGGAUGUAGGGUAAUUUUUUAUAUACUCUUUUGGUUUUGGGUAAUUUUUUUGGCUCCUAACAAUUAAGCAUCCUGCUGCCCCCAUAAGGCUUUCAGUUUUUAACAAAUGUUGAAACUGUAGACAGAAUUACUGGAAAGAUUUGAGGAACAAGAAGCUCCAGGGUCCAGAUCAUUUUUCACAGAGAUUAUUGCUUCUAUCUCAGACAUAAAAUUUGGGAAGGAUGGAAGAUACAUACUUAGUUGUGAUUACAUGACUUUAAAGGAAAUGGCUAAGAUCAUACAAGGAAUCAAGAUAUUCUUUCUCAUCUAUUGAGGACCUGGGAAGUGUGGCUAGUCUAAUUAAUGAUAGAAGUUUAUCAUUCUUAUCGGAGGAAUCUAAAUCCUUUGAAUCGUGUCUAUCUUAUGGCAUAUAUGAGAUCCCAUGUGAUUGAUAUGUCUUUUCACAUUGUAUCCAUGGCAUAAAGGUUGAGUUGGGCUUGGAUAUCAUCGAUACACUUUUUGCAAGUUUUAAUUGAGUUUAGUUUUACUUGGUAUGAAUUUGAAAUAAACAUUUGUGUGUCACUGUGAAUGAUAUCACACUUGUGGUAUGAAUUUGGAAUAAACACUUGUAUGAAUUCAUCUUUUUAUAUUUAUCUAUUUAGUUGAUGCUUUUUCUA